rnacentral:rRNA from 1 species
UACGUAGGGUGCAAGCGUUAAUCGGAAUUACUGGGCGUAAAGCGCGCGUAGGUGGUUUGUUAAGUUGAAUAUGAAAUCCCCCGGGCUCAACCUGGGAACUGCAUGCAAAACUGGCAAGCUAGAGUAUGGUAGAGGGUGGUGGAAUUUCCUGUGUAGCGGUGAAAUGCGUAGAUAUAGGAAGGAACACCAGUGGCGAAGGCGACCACCUGGACUGAUACUGACACUGAGGUGCGAAAGCGUGGGGAGCAAACAGG